rnacentral:rRNA from 1 species
GAUCAUGGCUCAGAUUGAACGCUGGCGGCAGGCCUAACACAUGCAAGUCGAACGGUAACAGAAAGAAGCUUGCUUCUUUGCUGACGAGUGGCGGACGGGUGAGUAAUGUCUGGGAAACUGCCUGAUGGAGGGGGGAUAACUACUGGAAACGGUAGCUAAUACCGCAUAACGUCGCAAGACCAAAGAGGGGGACCUUCGGGCCGUCUUGCCACUCGGAUGUGCCCACGAUGGGAGUUAGCUUGUUUGGG